rnacentral:rRNA from 1 species
GAUGAACGCUAGCGGCAGGCCUAAUACAUGCAAGUCGAACGGUGUCUUCGGACAUAGUGGCGCACGGGUGCGUAACACGUAUGCAACCUACCUUGCAUUGGGGGAUAGCCUUUCGAAAGGGAGAUUAAUACCGCAUAAGACAGUAGCUGGGCAUCCAGCAGCUGUUAAAGAUUUAUCGAUGUAAGCUGGGCAUGCGUCCAAUUAGCUAGUUGGUGAGGUAACGGCUCACCAAGGCAAUGAUUGGUAGGGGAACUGAGAGGUCAAUCCCCCACACUGGCACUGAGAUACGGGCCAGACUCCUACGGGAGGCAGCAGUAGGGAAUAUUGGGCAAUGGACGAAAGUCUGACCCAGCCAUGCCGCGUGCAGGAUGAAGGCGUUAUGCGUUGUAAACUGCUUUUAUACAGGAAGAAACGACUCUUGCGAGAGGCAUUGACGGUACUGUAUGAAUAAGCACCGGCUAACUCCGUGCCAGCAGCCGCCGUAACAC